UUUGGAAAUAUAAAUAAAUGUCUGUGAUAGUGAAUCUCAAGUUAAUAUAAUUUUAAGAAAUUAAACACAUUAUUAAAAUAUCCUUGAAAGAAUGGUUUAAUAUGAGCAGGAUUCUGAGUUCAAUCAAAGGCAUCUCGUGGUGCAAAGAGGCAUAUUCACUUGACUGAAGAAAUGAACAACAGGAAACAUAAAGGCUCAUGUCCAAGGCCGUGUACCUUGGGAAAACUAGCUUCCACCCACUACUCAUACACAGAACUUCCUACCAUCGUCUUAGCACCUCCACCUUGAACAUGAACAAACGGCUCAGGAUUAUCAAACCUUGGAGGAAAGACUCCAGUGUGAAAGAGAGAAACAGAUUAAAACAAAUUAAAAUAAAAUCAAAGCAGAGAAAAGAGAACCAGGAUUAAAAAAGAGUUCAUAAUUGAUUUUCUCAGAAAGUUGAGUAAAGAUCUCUCUGUAUACCAACAGCAGAAUGCCAUAAAAAGUAAAAUUACAAGAGAAAAAGUGUUCAUAUUUGUGUGUAAAAUACAUUUAGGAAAUAAGACUAUUUAACAUAUAAUGAUGUUAUAAAUCCACAAAACUUAGAAGAUGAAAUUAAAAAUGUUCUAGCAAACAGAACAGAAGUAAAGAUAAUUGGAAAAUAACAGAGCUAUAUACAUCAUUGUUUAUUUAGAUUGGGCGAUCAGAAGACCAACAAUAACUAACAGGAGCCAAAAAAGAGAAUAGCAACAAGAACAAAAUGGAUGAGUGGAAAAUAUGAAGAAACAGUUUUGGAAAUACCUACAACAAAAGAACAUGAGUUCUUGUGGUAAGAGGACCAAAUAGAUGUCCAACAAAAAGACCAAAAUUAAGGCAAAUUAUAAGGAAAUAUGAGAACACUAAAAACAAGGAUCAGGUCUUGGAUCCUCCCGAAAAGUUUUUCAACAGCUAUGUUGAAUGCUAAAAAGCAAGGAAGAUGUUUCCUUCAAAAUUUUGAGGAAAAUGUGUUUCAAUCAAAAUUUCUUUACUGUAACAGCAAUCUAUCACAGGUGACAGUAGAAUAAAGAUGCUUUAAAAACACA
rnacentral:lncRNA from 1 species